CUGUUCGGUCAGGGUCUGUGGGUUGGCGCUGUUUGCUGGCAGCGUGUGAAGCCAAAGAAUAAGACUUAAUCUUUGUCCUUGAGAAGCUUAAACUUCAGUUCCAGAGACAACGCCUGACAUAAAACAUUAGAGUUAGAGAGAAGCAGAAGGAGAGGUCUUCCAUUCGCUGGGUACACUCCCCAAAUGACUGCAACGGCAGGAACUGGGCUGAUCCGAAGCCAGGAGCCAGACCAGGAAGACAGUGUGAAACUGCUGAUAAUUGACCACUUCUAAUCUGCAGAAAUGCAGAGUUCCUAGCUCCACCUAAUUGGCAUUCACCGCUUUGGGCAGGUGUGAGGAGUUCAUGAGAGAAGGCUCUGGGACAUUCAAGCCUGAAAGGCAACAGGAUUUGCCCAAAGCUGCAGUAGUUUGGCGUGGGGUCAGAACUAGAACUCUAGUCCAUUGGUGUACCUUCCUGUACCCUGCCUGACCUUGUCAUUCCCAUUUGCUCCUGGUAAGUCGACAUACUGAGAACUUUGGGUAUGGAGGUAGGGAUCUCUUUGUGUGGAAGUUUCUCUUUGAGGAAGAGAUGUUUUAGUAAGUGCAGCUUCCUUGCUUAUGUGUUGGAGUUUUGCCUUCACCUUUCCUCCAAGUACUAUGUGGAGCUUAUAGAUGGGCAAGUGAGAGCACAGCCCAGGGAUGUUCCACACCUGACCUGAGAAUGAUGCCUGAAGGGUUAGGCCAGGCCAGCAGGUUAUGCAUUCAGCAAAUAUUUGUUGAGCCUUUUGCCCAAAACUAGAGGCAACCGCGGUAAACACUCCAGGGCUUGCCAGCAGAAAAGCUAACAGGCUGGCAAGAGCCAGAGAUACAGGUUCAGGCAACCGUUCUGCAAAAAGUGUUUCCAAGGAUGGCCGUGGGUACUCCAGAGCUGGUGGAUGGCCCUGGGUACUCCGGAGCUGGUGGUGUCUAGCCGAGGGGGUGUUCAGGGAGGACUCUGCUGAGGGCCAUAAUGCAGCAGGGAAUGAAAGUAGGAGCCAAGUGGCAGGUGCAGGGUAUGUUGUUCUAGAGUUGAUGGUUUAGGAACCAUACCUAAUUUAGUGCCUGGAGCAGGAGCUGGAAGAGGGCAACAUAAGGCAGGUGAGGAAAGCAGGGGUCAGGUCAUGCAGAUCUCAGUGGAGGCUCUGGGCAUUCUCAUGAGAGCAGUGGAGCAUGAAAACUUGGUUCCAUGUCUCUCUUGCAGCCUUAGCAUGUGUAUGAGAGAAAUUUUGGAUCUCAAAUAAAAGAAAAUGUUUUGCUAAGACCUCUGGAGGCAGAACAAGUUCAGGGACUCUGCCAGAGACAAUGCCGACUCCUAUACUCCAUGUUUGCCAUCAAACCAGCGUUUGCCUUGGGCGUGAUUAGGGAAGCUCCCGUGUGUCCUGCCCUAUUCCUGCUGCAGGCCUCAGCAUGUGCUGGAUGAUGUCAUCAUGAUUCAUGGCUGUGACCAUCCAUGCUCCAGAGAAGCUCUCAGUCCUUGAAAGCUAUGCCAUAUCCUGGUUGUUUUAUUUAUGUAUUUUUUUAACAAGAUACAUUUUAUUAAGUAAAAUAUCAUAUUAUUUGUGGAUAAAUACAUAUAUAAUAAAACCACAAAAAUAUAAAACUAAAAUCAAGUAUACUUUUGGAUCAGGGAGGAAAGAGAAUAGCAAGGGAGUACCUCCAACUCUGUAACAUUUUAAUGCUAAAGAAAGCCAGCACUGACCUGGCUGCCUAACCUCACGACCAGUACAGGCAAAACGGGAAACCAGAACCUGAACACAUCACAUGCAUGGCCCCUCAUCACCAUAAUUCGGAAGUAGCCUUCCCACUGAGCUUGUCACCUCCAGCCAAUUGAGUUCUCACUUGUCACUCGUCCAUCAACCACACUUACAGACAUGCCUUAACCUUAUAAGACAGAAAUAGUCCCCAGCUGUGACUGCUCAUCUGUCAAUCUGAUUGGGCCACCAAUGCCCAACAUUUGGUCAAACGUUGUUCUCUCUGUCUGUCAGAGAGAGUUUUUGGAUGAGAUUAGCACAUAAAAAUGAGUGGACUUUGAAUUGAGCAGAUUGCCCUUACUCAUGUGGGCUGGCUUCAACCUAUCAAUCUUGAUAGAAUAAAAAACAGACCUACCCCUAGUAAGGCAGUAUUAUUUCUGUCCAAUGGCUUGCAAACAGCAUCAUCAGCGUUUUCUUGUCUCCACACUUAAAAUAUCAGCUCUUCCCUCCAUCUCUCUCUCUUGCUGUCUAACUCUGCUUCCCCUUCCAGUGCUGGCGCGCAGACUCUGUGGCUGGGCUUCCAUGUGGUGGGCGACCUUGCUCUCCCCGUAGGUCCUCCAUGUCACAUCCACUAGAUCCGGAAGAGUUUCCUCUGCAAUUUUUUCCUGAAGCUACAGUAACUCCACUUUUAUUAAACUAUCUUUUCCCAGACUAUCGGUGCGCGCCCUCACUAUUCUGCCAUCUUCUAUUUAUGUAUUUUUUCUAAAUGCAAUCACUUUCUUUAAGUUGUUAGUAUGAAAGUAACAUUUAAAAAAAAAAAAAGAUUUACUUUUGGCCGGCGCCGUGGCUCACUAGGCUAAUCCUCCACCUGUGGCGCCGGCACCCCGGGUUCUAGUCCUGGUCGGGGCACCGGAUUCUGUCCCGGUUGCCCCUCUUCCAGUCCAGCUCUCUGCUGUGGUCUGGGAGGGCAGUGGAAGAUGGCCUGAGUGCUUGGGCCCUGCACCCGUGUGGGAGACCGGGAGAGGCACCUGGCUCCUGGCUUCGGAUUGGCGCGGUGCGCCGGCCGCAGCAUGCCAGCCGCAGUGGCCAUUGGGGGGUGAACCAACGGAAAAGGAAGACCUUUCUCUCUCUCUCUCUCUCUCUCUCUCUCACUGUCCACUCUGCCUGUCAAAUAAAUAAAUAAAUAAAAGAUUUACUUUUUAUUUAUUUGAAAGAGUUACAGAGAAAGAAAAGACAAGAGCAAGAGAGAUCUUCCAUCUGCUGGUUCAUUCCCCAAAUGGCUGUAAUGGCUAGGACUGGGCCAGGCUGAAGCCAGGAGCCAGGAGCUUCUUUUGGGUCUCCCACAUGGGUGCAGGUGUCCAAGCAGUUGGGCCAUCUUCUGCUGCUUUCCCAGGCACAUUAAUAGGGAGCUGGAUGGAAGUGAACCAGCUGGGUCUUGAACUGGUGCCCAUAUGAGGGGCUGGCAUUGUAGGUGGCAGCUUAACCCACUAUACCACUGCACCAGCUUCAAUAACAUGUUUUUAUAAAAAAAAUUAAGUAUCUCAGAAGUGUAUUCAAUAUAAAGUGGAAUUUUUCCCCUCCCCUCAUGGUCUACUCUCCCCCAGCCCAUUUUUGUAUGUUCACUGUGUAAUGUUAAAUAAAAAUCUACUGUCAUAGAAUAUAUAAAUUCUGCCUAGAAUUUGACCACCUUGGAGCACUUCCCAAGACUCAUUAAAGGUCCGUGAGCUUCUGUCUUUGGGCUCUAGGUCACUCAUAUUUUGCCCUGAAUUAACCUUUUAUUAACCUUUUUACAAGGCCUACUUAUUUCUCUCAGUGCUUGGCAUCUUCUGGUGCAUCAAAGAUAGUUACUGAAGUGUUAGGAAGCCACUAGAGGGCAAGUGGGGUCUCCUAGAAGACGAUGAGGAAAUCAUGAGAACUUUGAUGGCAAUGUGUGUGGAGGAGAGGUGACAUCUAUUCAUUCAUUCAUUCAUUCAUUCAGCAAAUAUGUACCUACUAUGUGCCAGGUACUUUUUGAGGAGGACAAUGUGAUGUUUUCUCAGCAACCACUGAUUUGAUCUCCUGACAGCAAAUGAGUAUCCCAUUCAGUUCUGACACUGCCCAGUCAGUGGGACCUCACAGGUUAAGGGGUCAAGACACCCUCCCCACUUCAGAUGCCAGCUAUGAUUGGGGUCCUCAGGCUAUCUAUACUUCUUCCUGGCUGAGUACAGGAUUAGGGACUCUUACAACUCCCCUCCCCCAGGUUCAGUUAAUGGCUGGGACAACUCACAGAACUCAGGAACGUAUAGAGUUUAUAAAGUAUAUUAAUGUACAGCCAGAAGGGGAGAUGCAGAGGACAAGAUCUGGAAAGGUCCAGCGUAUAGGACCUCUGUCCUGGUGGUGUCUAAUGUACUCCCAGUGUUUGGCAAGGCAAUACCUGCAUAGCCUACUUAAGUUGCUACCUUGACCCUAACAUCAUUUCUCUGAGAGAGCAGGAUGCCUUGCAGUCCAUAGUUUCUCCUCAGGCUAACUGACCAGGACCAGCAAGAUUCAAUACGGCUGCCUGAUGACCUCAGAAGACCUCAGACCUCCUUACAGUCUAAUUUCCUUGUUAAGUGAUUCUCCCACCAGUGCCGUGAGAGUUGACAGUAACUGUGACAGCCCCUGGAAGAGGCUGAUUCUGAGAAUUAUGCCACCCCCUUUCCCAGAGAAGUCAUAGUAUUCCUCCUACUUAUUAGCGCACUCCUCCUCCACAUUCCUGUGGCCCUGUGUGUUUGACUCCUCAGCUCCCAGUGGGUUUGGAAGUUGAUUUGCAAGCUAAGCUCUUGCUUCUCCAUUCUUUGGCCGCUGAAUAAAGCUUGUGCUGUUGGUGCUCAGCUUCGGCUUAGUAAUUGACUUGGUAACGCUAAAUAGACAAAGGAAUCGAUUUUGGAAACCCUCUCCACAUAAUGGGGAUCCCAUACAUGGAGUGACACCAACAUAUGCAUGCAUUUGUUAAAACCUUGGAGGCUCCCCAAGCCCCAUUGCCUAGGGUUUUAUGUGGAAUUUCAUUACAUAAGCAUGGCUAGUGAAAUCAUUGCCAAUGGUGAUUAAGUUUAAUUUUCAGCCCUUCUCCUCUCCUUGAGGUUGAGGUUGAGGGUGAGAUAGAAGGUUCCAGGCCUUCUUAUCACAUAAUUAGAUCAUCUGGAAGCUACCUUCUAUCCUGAAGCUAUCUAGGGGCCCACCAGAAUCAUUGUAUCAGCAUAGACGUAGAUACGGCUGGAAGGAGAUUUGUUCUGAAUAAUGAAAAGGCAUUUCUAUCAGUCAGGAAAUUUCAAAGGUUUCAGGUGCUCUGUGCUACAAGCUAGGCAAAGAUACUUAAAAUAUAUCUUUUAUUAUACCAUAAUAAGAUAUCUAACUUUGUAGAGCUUACAAUCUGGUAGGAGAAAAUGCCAAUAAAAAUAGAUGUGAUAGAUUAUGUGAAAUGUUGGAAGGCGAGGAGUGCUUAGGAAAAAAAAAAAAGAGCAGAGUAAGGGAGUUAGGAGUACAAGUGGUUGGGGUGACAAAUCUUUUAUAAUUUCAGGUUCAUUUCAGGUGAGAGCUAAUUUAGUUUUAGACAAGAACUUAAGUACUGUGUUUGAAGCACAAAAUAGGAUCAUUAAAAAAAAAGGAUUUGCAGGACAUGAUAAGAAAAAAAGCAUAUGGUUGAAAUGAAUUCCUUGACUCAUUCCUAUCCUCAUAAUGAGUUGAGUUCUGUUUUGGUUGGUUAGCAUCAAGGGAGGAUGAGCACUAACUGAAUCAGGUUCAAAGUUAAUUUCAGCACAGUUAAAAAAGAAAGAACUGUUCCCAAAUCCAGCGUAGUAAUGUGAUGUUGUAGUCACGUCAUCUGCUGGAUGAGCUGAGGACAAAUAGAACGUUAGAGAGAUAUCUUAGCCUGAGUCUCUACAACAGGAUUCCAUAGACUGGGUGACCUAUAGACCACAGAAAUUUGUUUCUGAAGUUCUGGAGGCUGGACGAUCCAAGAUCAAAGUGUCUGCAUAUUCGAUGUUUGGUGAUAGGCCACUGCCUGGCUCAUAAGUGGCUGUCUUCUUGCUGAGUUCUCACAUAGUGGAAGGGGUGAGAGAGUUCCCCAGAGUCUCUUUUCUUAGGGCACUAAUCCCAGAUUCUCUCUCAUGACCUAAGCAUCUACAGAAGGUGUCCCACCUCCUAAUACCACCCCAUUGGUGAUAUUUCUAUAUAGGAAUUUGGGGUCAGGAGACACAAAUAUUCAGUCGAUAGCUAAAGGUAUUGAAAAAGCUGCAUUGGAAAUGGGGUCUGUGAAGUCAGUCCUGGAGACCUAGAAUAACCAUGUUUAUCUUUUCUGCCUUUCACAGAACUGAAUGUUGACAUUCUUGAAAUGUUGUUUUUAUUUUUCUUUGGCAAAAUCUGCAAACAAACCUUGGAGCUCAUGAAAACAUCUACAUUCCUCAGAUGGCUGGGUCAUAGUCUCAUUGAAGUGGAUGUAGCAGUUAGCAUCUGGACAACUUGGGAGCUGAGGGCACUCUGGAGGGCAAUUGGUCCUUUUCUUCAAUGCCUCAUUUUACAAGUGAAGAAACUACCUAAAGUCAGUACAGAGGAUUCAUGAGAAUCAGAUCUGAGUUUGGUUUUUUGUUUGCUUUUAUUUUUUUAAUUUAUUUGAAAGUCAGAAUUUUACACACACACACACACACACAUACAGAGAGAGAGAGAGAGAGAGGGAGGUCUUCCAUCCACUGGCUCACUCUCCAAUUGGCCGCAACGGUUGGAGCUGUGCCGAUCCCAAGCCAGGAGCCAGGAGCCAGGAGCCAGGAGCUUCCUUUAUAUCUUUCCAUGCAGGUGCAGGGGCCCAAGGACCUGGGCCAUCUUCCACUGCUUUCCUAGGCUAUAGCAGAGAGAUGGAUGGAAAGUGGAGCAGCCAGGACUUGCGCUGGUGCUCAUCUCAUAGGAUCCCAGCACUGCAGGCAGCAGCUUUACCCACUAAGGCACAGCGCCAGCCUCAGAUCUGAGUUUUCAUUAAAUAUGAUGUUUUACCUACCAUACCAGACUUUCCAUAUUGUAAUCUUCUGUUUAAAAUUUGCAGUUUGCUAAGGUUUGAAAGCUAGGAGCUUGAGGGCUAGGUCUCCAGAGAGACCUUAGCAUUUGCUGCCCUGUGCUGCCUCAAGAGUUUUCUGCCUGCCAGCUCCACAGUGCUCCUUGGCCACCCCAGCUCAGGCUGCCCGUUUGCAGGGCUCAGGCAAUGUUCACAGGGUGCUGGCUUGGUGUCGUCAGCACAGAGGUCCUAGGGGCCUCCAUCUAGAUUUCAGAGGACGAGGCAGGCAGCCUGGGAGCACAGGCGGAGACUUGUCGCAGGAGCAGAGCCACCACACCACCACAGAGAGCUCCCAACAACAUGCUCCCUACCUCAGAGAAAAUUGUCCAGCCCUGCUUUAAUCCUAAUUAAAGCCAACCAGCUAUCCUUGCAGGUGAACAGGAGUCACAACAGAUUGGAUGAAGGCACAUUCCUUCUGGUGAACUCUCCUUGAUAAGAAACCUCAGGCUGUGCCCUGGUUGAAGCCAGAUUCAGAAUUCUUGGCAUAAGCACCAUUUCCCACUUUAUCAUUCUGAUAUGGAAGUCCA